UCCUUCGUCGAGCGUCGCUCCCGCACAGAUGGGCCAAGCCCAACAAAUCCGUUUCGCACCACUACCUCGCCUCCUUUGAUCUCCCAGGAACCCCACGCGCUAGGGUUUGGCCCCGCCGCCGCUCGACCAUGUCGAGCACCACCUGUCCACCGCAGCUCGCCAGGGCGUCGCCCGCCGCCCCUCUACCUGGCCCGGCUCUGCUCGAGCUCGGCCAGGACAGGAGAUCGCCCCGAUCGACCGCAGUUUGGCGAAGCCAGCGGGCCCUAGGCAGGUGCAUGCGGCGCGGCCGCACAUCCCCCCCCCCCCGUCGGCAGGGCCCCCCACCAAGACUCCUCGCUCAAUCACGCCGACUAUGGAACGCCUCGCGAUUUCUGGCCGUUUAGAUGGAAAUAAUGGCGGAGGAGAUGGAGAUCUCGAUUUGCUGCUUUCCAUCAAUUCCCUCGUCAAUCUCCAACGAUCGAGAUUGGGCCGGUGGUUGCAGCUUCCUUUCUUUUGGUGGCAUCUGGUAUUCUGUUUUCGUUGGGGUGUGCCCUUCUGAUGUUUGGUGAAAGGUUCAACCAUGAUCCUUGGCGGGGUUCUAAAAUUUAGGGGCUGCAGCUG